UACGUAGGGGGCAAGCGUUGUCCGGAUUUAUUGGGCGUAAAGAGCGUGUAGGCGGCCUGACAAGUCUGCUGUGAAAACUCGAGGCUCAACCUCGAGAUGUCGGCGGAAACUGUCUGGCUAGAGUCCGGAAGAGGAGAGUGGAAUUCCUGGUGUAGCGGUGAAAUGCGCAGAUAUCAGGAAGAACACCCGUGGCGAAGGCGGCUCUCUGGGACGGUACUGACGCUGAGGUGCGAAAGCGUGGGGAGCAAACAGG
rnacentral:rRNA from 1 species